CUCUUAACUAUUAAAAGUUUCGUUUUGAUCCUUUAACUUAAUUUUUGGUUUCGUUUUGGUCCCUUAACUCUUCCUCCGUCAACCACUUUGGUCCUUUAUGUUAGGAUGAAUGUAUUAAAGUUAAGGGACCAAAAUGAAACCAAAAAAUAAGUUAAGGGACCAAAACGAAACCAAAAAAUAAGUUAAGAGACUAAAACGAAACUUUUAAUAGUUAAGGGACCAAAAGGAAACCUAAAAAUAAGUUAUGGGACCGAAACGAAACUUUUAAUAGUUAAGGAA
rnacentral:pre_miRNA from 1 species